UACGAAGGGGGCUAGCGUUGCUCGGAUUGACUGGGCGUAAAGGGCGCGUAGGCGGAUAGUACAGUCAGGCGUGAAAUUCCUGGGCUCAACCUGGGGGCUGCGUUUGAUACGUAUUGUCUGGAGUUCGGAAGAGGGUCGUGGAAUUCCCAGUGUAGAGGUUGAAAUUCGUAGAUAUUGGGAAGAACACCGGUGGCGAAGGCGGCGACCUGGUCCGAUACUGGACGCUGAGGCGCGAAAGCGUGGGGAGCAAACAGG
rnacentral:rRNA from 1 species